UUAACCUGAUGAACAAUCCUAAGUCUUUCG
rnacentral:piRNA from 1 species